rnacentral:rRNA from 1 species
AGAGUUUGAUCAUGGCUCAGGACGAACGCUGGCGGCGUGCUUAACACAUGCAAGUCGAGCGGAAAGGCUUCCUUCGGGAAGUACUCGAGCGGCGAACGGGUGAGUAACACGUGGAUAAUCAACCUCUUGCUCUGGAAUACCCCGGGGAAACUCGGAUCAAUGCCAGAUAAAGUGCGGCGCUGUCGGGCGCCGCACCAAAGAUAGCUUCGGCCUUCGGCGAGAGACGAGUCCGCGGCCCAUUAGCUUGUUGGCGGGGUAAUGGCCCACCAAGGCUACGAUGGGUAGCUGGUCUGAGAGGAUGAUCAGCCACACUGGGACUGAGACACGGCCCAGACUCCUACGGGAGGCAGCAGUGGGGAAUCUUGCGCAAUGGGCGAAAGCCUGACGCAGCAACGCCGCGUGCGGGAGGAAGGCCUUCGGGUUGUAAACCGCUUUCAGGGGAGACGAAGCUUCCAGGGUUAAUAGCUCUGCGAAGUGACGGUAUCUUCAGAAGAAGUCCCGGCUAACUACGUGCCAGCAGCCGCGGUG